UUUAACUAGAUUUCAAAUAAUUUUUUUCCAUAAAAUAGACACGAAAAUUAGGGUCGUAAUCUCUGCCUUAUCCCCCUUUACAGCUGCACUCUCUAGCAAAUGGUGAGCACAUGCUCUGGCGUAAGGAUUUUACUGAAACCACUUACACUUAUAUUACAAAGUUAACUUUGAGCUGCUAUAGAAAGUUCACUCUGAGGUGUCUUAGAGUUUGUUGAACUUUUGUCUGAAGAAUAACUGCAAGGAAACA